rnacentral:rRNA from 1 species
GACAGAGGGGGCAAGCGUUGCUCGGAAUUACUGGGCGUAAAGCGUGCGCAGGCGGCUUCUCAAGUCAGGGGUGAAAGCCCAGAGCUCAACUCUGGAAUUGCCUUUGAGACUGAGUGGCUUGAGUACGGGAGAGGUGAGUGGAAUUCCCAGUGUAGAGGUGAAAUUCGUAGAUAUUGGGAAGAACACCGGUGGCGAAGGCGGCCCACUGGCCCGUAACUGACGCUCAUGCACGACAGCGUGGGGAGCAAACAGG